AUGUGCUCUGUUCUUCAGUAUUUGUUUGUUUUUUCUAAGAAAAUAUCACAGCAACUGUACGCCACUUCUUCCGCCCUUAUGCAACCCAGCCGCUCCAACCGUCCCAUACUGUCUUAUCUUCCCCGUUGUUGUGUACAACCACCCAACGACCUGAUUUUCUCCAAACAAAAGAAAACAUAUGCUGCAUGUACCUCAAAUAUUUGGCAUUUGACGCUCCAUCUCCUAAUCUCUUCCACUUCCUCUCCCCCACGUUCUCCAUAUAAGAAACUGAUGGAUCGCCUUUUGAAGUCUGUGCUUUGCCUCACCUUAUUGCCUUCCCAUCGUCCUCCAGCACGGGUGGGUUCAGCCGCACCACUCAUACUGCACCGAUGGUGA
rnacentral:rRNA from 1 species